UACGGGGGGAGCAAGCGUUGUUCGGAUUUACUGGGCGUAAAGGGCGCGUAGGCGGCGUAACAAGUCACUUGUGAAAUCUCCGGGCUUAACCCGGAGCGGCCAAGUGAUACUGUUGUGCUAGAGUGCGGAAGGGGCUACUGGAAUUCUCGGUGUAGCGGUGAAAUACGUAGAUAUCGAGAGGAACACCUGCGGCGAAGGCGGGUAGCUGGGCCGACACUGACGCUGAGGCGCGAAAGCCAGGGGAGCGAACGGG
rnacentral:rRNA from 1 species